UCUAUUGUAUUUUGUAAGGAGUGAUUUACUUCCAAUUGUGUGGUCAGUUUUAGAGUAAAUGCGAUGUGGUAUGGAGAAGAAUGUGUAGUCUUUGGAUUUGAAGUGGAGAGUUCUGUAGAUGUCUAUUACAUUUUCUUGGUCCAUAUCUCAGUUCAAGUCUUGGAUAUCCUUGUUGAUUUUCUGUCUGUUGAUCUAAUAUUGA